rnacentral:rRNA from 1 species
UGGGGAAUAUUGGACAAUGGACCAAGAGUCUGAUCCAGCAAUUCUGUGUGCACGAUGACGUUUUUCGGAAUGUAAAGUGCUUUCAGUUGGGAAGAAGAAAAUGACGGUACCAACAGAAGAAGUGACGGCUAAAUACGUGCCAGCAGCCGCGGUAAUACGUAUGUCACGAGCGUUAUCCGGAUUUAUUGGGCGUAAAGCGCGUCUAGGUGGUUAUGUAAGUCUGAUGUGAAAAUGCAGGGCUCAACUCUGUAUUGCGUUGGAAACUGUGUAACUAGAGUACUGGAGAGGUAAGCGGAACUACAGGUGUAGAGGUGAAAUUCGUAGAUAUUUGUAGGAAUGCCGAUGGGGAAGCCAGCUUACUGGACAGAUACUGACGCUGAAGCGCGAAAGCGUGGGUAGCAAACAGGAUUAGAUACCCUGGUAGUCCACGCCGUAAACGAUGAUUACUAGGUGUUGGGGGUCGAACCUCAGCGCCCAAGCAAACGCGAUAAGUAAUCCGCCUGGGGAGUACGUACGCAAGUAUG